GCCAGACUCCUACGGGAGGCAGCAGUGGGGAAUAUUGCACAAUGGGGGAAACCCUGAUGCAGCGACGCCGCGUGAAGGAUGAAGUAUUUCGGUAUGUAAACUUCUAUCAGCAGGGAAGAAGAUGACGGUACCUGACUAAGAAGCCCCGGCUAACUACGUGCCAGCAGCCGCGGUAAUACGUAGGGGGCAAGCGUUAUCCGGAUUUACUGGGUGUAAAGGGAGCGUAGACGGCAGUGCAAGUCUGGAGUGAAAGGCGGGGGCUCAACCCCCGGACUGCUCUGGAAACUGUACGGCUGGAGUGCAGGAGAGGUAAGUGGGAUUCCUAGUGUAGCGGUGAAAUGCGUAGAUAUUAGGAGGAACACCAGUGGCGAAGGCGGCUUACUGGACUGUAACUGACGUUGAGGCUCGAAAGCGUGGGGAGCAAACAGGAUUAGAUACCCGGGUACC
rnacentral:rRNA from 1 species